UUACUUUCCUUGUGUCUGAAGAUUCAGUACAAUUGCUGAAAUGUUCAGUUAGCUGUUGGGAAACAGAAACACUGGGAAACAGAAGAGUCACAAUUUUUGAAGCGCCAGCUCCAUUGCAGAACAGUCGUGAUCUCUGUCGUGAUCUGCUCCAUAAUUUUGUUGCGUGGUGCCAUGCUUCAAUACAGGAGAAAGUAGAGUGUCACUGAGCCUACACUACUACUGUUUUAGAAUUUGUGUUUUGACUGCUUUGUGUCAGGCAUUCAAUAUUAACUUCUUGACAAUAAAAACACAACAAAUUGGGCAAUCUUUACUUCAUUCCUUCAUCAAAAACUGAAAGGCAGGACCAGCUCCACCUGGCUAUCAGCUAUGUGGGAGGUCUACAAGCGCCAUACUUCGUAGAUGGAAUGCAGCUGAGGAGGGUCUGCAGACUGGUGGAGAAGUAAGUGUUGCUGCUGUGUAGAGAGAGCACCUUCUACAUCUGUGGGGAAGCACUGGAGAAAGACCAGAAAAUGUUAAAGUACGUGGCUGGGCCUUACCUGCUGCUCAGAGACAGAUUUCAGCUACAUCAGAAGAUGUGAACAGAGUGAUAGCUCUGAUCCUCAGGACAUCAGAAGAAAAAGCUGCUACCUCCUAGCAACAGUACCUUCAUAUGCUUCAAGGACAGAGAAAAAAGUAGCAGUAUUCAGGGAAUUCCUACACUCUGCCAUUUGGGAUACAUAGUAAUUCUGGGAUGCAACGGAUCACCUUAAAGGUACGGGGCUUUGGAAGGCAUAGUAGACCUUUACAUUAGACUACAGAAGAACGUCCAAUGCCGCUGUAUGCCAACUUCACCAUAGGACCGGGAUGAAGAUAACUUGUAUGGAAUUAAGGCUCCGUUGAUAACUAUUAAAUAUUCAAGCUUGUCCAUCAUUAAAGCUGAACCAGAUUAGAUCUGAAUUUGUUCUUCAGCUGGGCACAGCAACCCAGAGAGACGUCAUGGUUACCGAGGGUCACUGAUGCUUGAAGAUCUCUUCAAACAAGAACAAAGUUACUCAUCUGUAGGUCUGCAAUCACCUCUGGAUCCAACCCUAGAGAGCAGGGCUAGGUAUGGGCACCCUACUGCAAGGGGUCUUGGCUGGCCCACCAGCAAGUGGCAGCGGGGGACACUGCUCUUCAAAGUAAGGUUUUGUUUUCAUAGCCUGUGCACUUAAUAGUGUAUCACUAUUAAGGCUCUUCCCUUAACUGUGGCCUGUAAGCGUUUUUGUACUACUGAAAAGUAGCUCCUAAAAUAUAUACUCGAGUACUAAUUGAUGUUUCCACUCAAUUUCCCUUUCUCCAGUAUGUACAUUUUAAGUAUGUAGCAAAACAUGCUUGUGGGGUAGACUUGACUUACGAUGACUAGACAUUUAUUUCUGUUUUAAUUAUUUUGGUAACUUUUGAGGUGAUUUUUUUUUUUUUAAUUUUAUUUUUGUUUUUAUAAACCUUUGGCAAGCCUUUAAGGCAAAUAACUUUGUACUCAGUCUUUACUCAUGCUGCAUGUAUGCUGCCUCAGACAGAUGCUUUCGUACGGUCUUAAGAACAGGUUUCUUUCUGCUGGAGUGAUUGAUCUGGCCAAUAAAUAAAUUCCCACAUAAAAUUCACUAGGAGCAAUUGAUAUGUCAUGGAGCAGUGAACUAAAGGUUGAGAUUUUUUCCUUGCUUGUAUUUCUCCCACUAAUCCCAGUUUUAACCAUUCUUUCCCCCCCCCUUCCAA